rnacentral:tRNA from 1 species
GCGAGAGUGGCGGAAUUGGCAGACGCACUAGACUUAGGAUCUAGCGGGUAAAACCGUGGGGGUUCGAGUCCCCCCUCUCGCACCA